GACGGAGGAUGCAAGCGUUAUCCGGAAUUAUUGGGCGUAAAGAGCUCGUAGGCGGUUUGUCGCGUCUGCUGUGAAAACUCGGGGCUUAACCCCGGGCCUGCAGUGGGUACGGGCAGACUAGAGUGCGGUAGGGGAGACUGGAAUUCCUGGUGUAGCGGUGAAAUGCGCAGAUAUCAGGAGGAACACCGGUGGCGAAGGCGGGUCUCUGGGCCGUAACUGACGCUGAGGAGCGAAAGCGUGGGGAGCGAACAGG
rnacentral:rRNA from 1 species